rnacentral:rRNA from 1 species
AGAGUUUGAUCAUGGCUCAGGAUGAACGCUAGCGACAGGCUUAACACAUGCAAGUCGAGGGGCAGCACAGGUAGCAAUACCGGGUGGCGACCGGCGCACGGGUGAGUAACGCGUAUGCAACUUGCCUAUCAGAGGGGGAUAACCCGGCGAAAGUCGGACUAAUACCGCAUGAAGCAGGGGCCCCGCAUGGGGAUAUUUGCUAAAGGUUCAUCGCUGAUAGAUAGGCAUGCGUUCCAUUAGGCAGUUGGCGGGGUAACGGCCCACCAAACCGACGAUGGAUAGGGGUUCUGAGAGGAAGGUCCCCCACAUUGGUACUGAGACACGGACCAAACUCCUACGGGAGGCCA